rnacentral:sRNA from 1 species
UCCGUAGGUGAACCUGCGGAAGGAUCAUUAGUGAAUAUUAGCGCAUCUCUUCGGAGAGCGUGACCUCCACUUUCUAACUCUGUGCAUUUAUUUGGCGGUUCCGAUGGUUGGCCAGUUUUCGAAUUGGCCACUUGACGGACUGCGGCUCAUUUUAUAACACUAGUUAAAGUAUGUAACGAAAUAUCGAAACAAAAAAAAACUUUCAACAACGGAUCUCUUGGCUUGCUCAUCGAUGAAGAACGCAGCGAAAUGUGAUAAGUAAUGUGAAUUGCAGAAUUCAGUGAAUCAUCGAAUCUUUGAACGCACCUUGCGCUCCCUGGUAUUCCGGGGAGCAUGUCUGUUUGAGUGUCAUGAACUCUUCAACCCACCAGUUUCUUGUAGACUGAUUGGUGUUUGGAUUUUGAGCGUUGCUAUUGUCCUCGGACAUCAGCUCGUUCGUAAUAAAUUAGCAUCUCUAAUUCGAACUCGGAUUGACUCAGUGUAAUAGACUAUUCGCUGAGGACACGCUCUCGCAGUGUGGCCGAAUGAGAUCUCAGUAGAAGCUUCCAACUACUUUAGUCAACUUUAGAUUAGACCUCAGAUCAGGCAGGAUUACCCGCUGAACUUAAGCAUAUCAAUAAGCGGAGGAAAAGAAACUAACAAGGAUUCCCCUAGUAACGGCGAGUGAAGCGGGAAGAGCUCAAAUUUGUAAUCUGGCACUUUCAGUAUCCGAGUUGUAAUCUCGAGAAGUAUUUUCCGCGCCGGACCGCAUACAAGUCUGUUGGAAUACAGCGUCAUAGUGGUGAGAACCCCGUAACUGAUGCGGAUGCCCGGUGCUUUGUGAUAUACUUUCGAAGAGUCGAGUUGUUUGGGAAUGCAGCUCAAAUUGGGUGGUAAAUUCCAUCUAAAGCUAAAUAUUGGAGCAAGACCGAUAGCGAACAAGUACCGUGAGGGAAAGAUGAAAAGCACUUUGGAAAGAGAGUUAACAGUACGUGAAAUUGUUGGAAGGGAAACGCUUGAAGU